GCCUGGGUGGCUCAGUCGGUUAAGUGUCUGACUUCGGGUCAGGUUAUGAUCUCAGUCAGUGGGUUCAGUCAGUGGGUUCGAGCCCCAUGUCAGGCU
rnacentral:tRNA from 1 species